CUGUGUCAGAGCUCGCAUUGCAUCACUGCUCUAUUUCAAAAUGGCGGUGUAUUUAUUCCGUUCCUGUCUCGCAAGACAAUUUGGCAAUCUGCGAGUUGGAGUUCUAGGUAUCUCCAGACAUCACCUUCACACUGAUGACCGUAAAACGCCUGGUGUAGAUGAAACUGAAGAUCCCCACAGGACACAGGGGACUGGAGAUUCCAGUAAGUCACCUGAAUCAGGGCACAAAGCAGCCGACCAGUCUUACGAAGAUGGAGGGGAAUAUGGAGUCCCAGACGAAGAAGAUGAGAAUGAUGUCAAAAACAAGAUUCUCGUAGCUGCACUUGGCCAUGUUCACACCCAUGGAUGGACUUCAAGCACCAUCGCCACAGGAGCUCAGUCAUUAGGGCUGUCAGCCAUGGCGGAGGGGAUGUUUCCGCGUGGAGGAGGGGACUUGGCGCUGUUUUAUAUUGAGGACUGCAACCUGAGACUUGCUGACUAUCUUGUGGAGCAAACUCAGGCUUUACAGGAGAGUCAAGAUGCUCCUCGUCCACGGUCCUCUGUGGUUAUCCGGGAUGCGCUGGAGACUCGCCUGCGCAUGAUUAUACCAUACAUCAGCACCUGGCCCCAGGCAAUGCAGUUGAUGAUGCGACCUGAAAAUGCUCCUGAUGCUCUAAAGAAUGUGGCCUACAUGGUUGAUGAGAUAUGGUACCAUGCGGGUGACACUUCUACAGAUUAUAACUGGUACACCAAACGUGCCAUGCUGGCCGCCUUGUAUGGUGCCACAGAGGUGUACAUGGUGCGAGACCAGUCAGAGGACUUUACCAAUACCUGGGCCUUCCUAGAUAAUAGAAUUGCAGACAUCAAAGAGAUGGCCAAGAUGAGAGAUAAUUUUCAGAAAGCCGGCAUGGACUCUACUCAACUGAUCUCCGCUGCAAUGACAACAAUCCGAAACAUGGCUGGCUUCAACAAACGAUCAAGAUAAAAGUAUUUCCCAACAGAGAACAGAGCUUAAGAUUAAUUACUAGUUUUGACGAGCGGGAACCUGAUAAAAGUGGGCACAACUUUUCACAUUUUGUUUUUGUAAAUAAAAACGACUUUUGUUGUUGUUGAUCUCUCGUGCACAAAAAUUAACAAAAUAAAUCACCCAAUUCUAGGAUCACCUUAUCCUCUACAUUUUUUGCAUUUUAUCUAUUUUUGCCGUUUCAGUAUUUGUGUGGGUUGUGGCUAGCGAAAGCCGUUUGACGAUUGUUUGUUUGUUAACCUUGUCACGCAACGCCCGUCACGCGACUAGAGUUAGGGACACGUACUUCAACGAAUACAAAAGGUUUCCACAGCAUUACAACUAUUUUCAAUACUUUCUGAUGAAUGUGUGAUUCUAACUGGUCUUGGGAAACAAGGUGCGCAUUUCCAACCUAGCUAAGUAACGCUUGAAACGUAUGAAAUACUUUAAGUCACGAAAAGAUUUCAGUUCAGAAGAUAUCGGAGGAGAAAGAGAGA